UUCGCGCGUGUAAGCAUGUCCAAGAGUUUUACCGCGUUGUCGCCGUCCUCCUAGACCUCUUUCCCUCUCCGUAAAACCCCUCACCGACGCUCGCCGCUGAACGCCCACGUGAGCAUAGUGCGUCGGCCGUCGUCUUCCUCCUCGUCUCUUCCUCCCUGCGCCUCCGUUGGCCGCCUCUACCCCGUGAGAGUCUCCCAUGUGCCUCCCUCGUCGCCUGCCUUCAAGCCAAGGCACAAGCACACGCGUCCGUGGCGUCGGCCACCCGUCCGAGGCGACGACAACUCAGCCUCCUCGCCCUGUGGCUAUAUAAGCCCACCCCGAGGCCUCCUGGUCGACCCCAGUUCUUCGCCUCACUCUCCUACCCCUCCCUAGCCUCUCAUCCGAGCUCGAGAAGCUCUCUUGCCGCCCCUCUGUCGCCAUGGCCAUCGCCUCGGUCCUCCUAAAUUGGAGCGAACUCGAGCCCCUCUCUUGCUCCUACCACCACCAGUAGACCGCCCCCACUCCGGCGACCAUCCCCAGGUCCUUUUCCCCUCGCCGGAGCCACUAUGGCCUCGAGUCCCGUCUCCACCCGAAGCCCCCUCCGCCGGAGUGCUUGCUGCUCUCAACACCGCCCUCCUCGAGGUCCGUUCUGUCCUGGAACGGGCCGGCCUCGUCGCCCUGAGCACGUGGGUAGGUAGAGCGCCGCCUACGGUGGCCGGAAGCGCCAGCGCUCGUCGUCGGAGCCGCGCCGCUGCUCUGCUCCGGCGGGCACGCGCGAGGAGGAAGAAGGAGCCAGGCCAGGCGGGCCUUCUCCUUUCCCCGACCCCACCUGGCAGCCACUCAGGCCCGGCCCCGCCCCUGCAUGCGUUGACCCGGGCGGCCAGCGCAGAUAAGUGACGGGCCCCACCCCGUGGGACCCGCACGUCAGCGACCCUAGCCCCGGAACCGCGCGCGUUUAGGUGGAAGCGUACUUCGAAAAGUACGUUUCCGCGUGGAGUAAGCGUAUUCCGCCUCUGCUUUAUCUAAAAAUGUGCUUUCUCCGUUCUGAAGACGUAUUUCCUAAAAUGCGUUUUCUGUUUUUCAGCUCAGGGGCCUGUUUGUAGAGUUAUGUUUACAGAUUGGUCCCUAAACUUCGUCGGGCUAUAACUUUCUACUCCCAACUCCAAAUGAGCCCCUCCGAGAGAGAACGUUUUUCCGGCGAUUCUUUCCGCGAGCUUCUCGCACCUUUUCUCGGUGAUUUCUUCCACCCGAGGCAAGCCACGCCAUCCAUUUGCAUGAUUGAAAUGCAGUGACAUGGUUUAUUCAUUUAAACUUGUUUAAAAUAUUGCUUUAGCUAUAUGUGAUCUGUUCAUGGCAUUUCCCGGAGUAUUGAUUUGAUCUUCAUAUUGCUUGGAGUAUUAGGCUUAUAUUUUUGAUGAUUAUGUGGACGACAUGUGCCUUUGGAUUCUUAGUGGCUAUUAGGAUUAUUUUCAUGACGGUAUCUGGUAUUCUUUUGGAGAAUUACUUUGGAUGACAUGUGCCUUUGGAUUCCUAGUGGCUAUUAGGAUUAUUUCCAUGAUGGUAUCUGGUAUUAGUUUGGAGUAUUACUUUGGAUGACAUGUGCCUUUGGAUUCUUAGUGGCUAUUAGGAUUAUGUCCAUGAUGGUAUCUAUUAUUAUAUUUUGGAGUAUUACUUUGGAUAUCAUGCUGCCUUUGGAUUAUUAGUGGUUAGUAUGAUUAUUUUCAUGAUGCUAGUUGAUUCUCUGUUGCUUGAAGUAUUAUUUUCGAAAAUGAUGUUUACAUGUGGAUCUUAGUCGAAUAGCUUUAUUCUUGUUAUUGGAGUAGUAGGAUUAUUGUUUUCGGAUUCAUCAUGACAGUAGUGAUGUGCUACCCUUGGAGUAUUUUUGAGGUGAUGAUAUUAGGCUUGGAUUAUUUGUUGGAUUUUGCUAUGACUUGGAUUAUAGUUUGAUAGUUGAUAUCGAAGUAUCAGUCAUCACAGUUAUACUUUGGGGGAUAAAUUCAGUCAUUAAGUUGGUCAGGUGCCACCGAACUGGGCUUUCUCCAGUGCAACCACAUUUGCCUUUAUGGGAAGGCCCUAAUGCGGUCUAUUGCCGUGCCUCUCGCCGGUGCCUCCAACUACGGAAGGUUAUGGGCAUGCGGUACCCUGGCCCGGUAAGCAGACAUAACCUUGUGUGCCCGUUGUUGUUGUUGUAUCCGGGUUGUCCCUGUGUGGGACCGUUUAUUGUUUUGGCCACGACGGUGGCCGUUGUGUCUUUGGUAGACACGGGGCCACCCAGGACUAGCCCAGUGGGGAGUGAGUCGGAGUGGCCGGGAGAGUGUCAUGGCAGUAGAUCAGUUUUGUCGGAACGCCGUUGGUCCACCCGAAUGGGAGAGCGAGGCCAUGGGUUCCAUGGUGUGGGUACAGUGCGCUACCUCUGCACAGUGUAUUUAAAUCUAUCGAUAGCCACGCCCUCGGUCAUGGGCAUGGGUUCGUACUAGGUCACACCGUUCGAUCAACACUCACAUGACGGAAUGACUUAUAGGUGAUUUAUAUGUGGAUAUUUUGAGCCAUACAGAUUGGCAAGAUGUUGAUGAUGACGUUUGAGACCAAGUGUUGGUUGUGGCAGUGAUCGCCAGAAUGAUCACCGUUUGGUUUGGAUCAUGAGGUGAUCGAGAUGGUAUAUUGCUUGGCCGGUUAGCCAAGAGUGAUAUGGUUAUGGAGAUCUGAGAUGGUGAUUCAUCAGUAUUGUAUUAGUUUCAUACCAUGCUUAGUAGUUGCUACAUAAUAAUAGUUGUUAAUUUAAUUAACCUGUUAAAUGCUAUAUUAUCGUCUUGCCUUGAUGUUUAUGGUUGUUGUGAGCUUGCAAGUACAUUCCAUGUACUGACCUGGCGUGUCAUGCCUGAUUGCAGGUGAUUCCAUGAUUGCUUGAUUUCUUGUCAAGGUUGCCGUGCGUGCGAGCUAGAUCGUGUCCCAGCCAGAGUCCCUGAGGAGUGGAGUUCACUACCUUCGUCGUUGUUCCGCUGCUACGAGUUGUUCUGCUGCUAGCAUAGAGCAAGUGUAGUAUUGCAGGCGUAGUGUCGCCGUGCUGAUGUGCUUCUUUGUAAUAUCAUACCUUGUAUUAUUAUCCUUGUAAUAAGAGCUGAUUUGUUCUA